AUUGAACGCUGGCGGCAGGCCUAACACAUGCAAGUCGAACGAGUGGCGGACGGGUGAGUAAUGUCUGGGAAACUGCCCGAUGGAGGGGGAUAACUACUGGAAACGGUAGCUAAUACCGCAUACCAUCGGAUGUGCCCAGAUGGGAUUAGCUAGUCGGUGGGGUAAAGGCUCACCUUGUCGACGAUCCCUAGCUGGUCUGAGCGGAUGACAAGCAACACUGGAACGGAGACAGGGUCCAGACUACAACGAGAGGAAGCAGUGGGGAAUAGUGGACAAUGGGCGAAAGCCUGAUGCAGCCAUGCCGCGUGUAUGAAGAAGGCCUUCGGGUUGUAAAGUACUUUAAGCGGGGAGGCGUUACCCGCAGAAGAAGCACCGGCUAACUCCGUGCCAGCAGCCGCGGUAAUAC
rnacentral:rRNA from 1 species